AUUGAACGCUGGCGGAAUGCUUUACACAUGCAAGUCGAACGGCAGCACGGACUUCGGUCUGGUGGCGAGUGGCGAACGGGUGAGUAAUGUAUCGGAACGUGCCCAGUCGUGGGGGACAACGUAGUGAAAAUUACGCUAAUACCGCAUACGAUCUAUGGAUGAAAGCGGGGGAUCGCAAGACCUCGCGCGAUUGGAGCGGCCGAUAUCAGAUUAGGUAGUUGGUGGGGUAAAGGCCCACCAAGCCAACGAUCUGUAGCUGGUCUGAGAGGACGACCAGUCACACUGGAACUGAGACGCGGUCCAGACUCCUACGGGAGGCAGCAGUGGGGAAUUUUGGACAAUGGGCGAAAGCCUGAUCCAGCCAUUCCGCGUGCAGGAUGAAGGCCCUCGGGUUGUAAACUGCUUUUGUACAGAACGAAAAGGUUUCUACUAAUACUAGGAGCUCAUGACGGUACUGUAAGAAUAAGCACCGGCUAACUACGUGCCAGCAGCCGCAGUAA
rnacentral:rRNA from 1 species